AGCCUUGACUUUUUCAAGAAUCUGUGGUAUAGAAUGUGCGUCAGCGAUGACUAUGGCGAUAAAUACCGUUUGGAAUAGGCGUUUUGGACGAGGGUUCGAUUCCCUCCGCCUCCACCAUGGGGGCGACCGGCUUCGACAGGCGCGAUAAAGGAACGGAGUUUGCCAAGGCCUAUCACCUUGGGCGUGCCCGAACGAUAAAAGACGAAUGCUAAUGACAAUCGUCCCGCGUAUGAUCUGGCCCUCGCGGCCUAAUGCGCAAGAUUCUUGACGCACAUUGGACGCGCCAAGUGGGGUUCGGGCUUUCCUAUCAACAGAAAAGCCCGUUU
rnacentral:tmRNA from 1 species